UUAAGCGACUAAGCGUACACGGUGGAUGCCCUGGCAGUCAGAGGCGAUGAAGGACGUGCUAAUCUGCGAUAAGCGUCGGUAAGGUGAUAUGAACCGUUAUAACCGGCGAUUUCCGAAUGGGGAAACCCAGUGUGUUUCGACACACUAUCAUUAACUGAAUCCAUAGGUUAAUGAGGCGAACCGGGGGAACUGAAACAUCUAAGUACCCCGAGGAAAAGAAAUCAACCGAGAUUCCCCCAGUAGCGGCGAGCGAACGGGGAGCAGCCCAGAGCCUGAAUCAGUGUGUGUGUUAGUGGAAGCGUCUGGAAAGGCGUGCGAUACAGGGUGACAGCCCCGUACACAAAAAUGCACAUGCUGUGAGCUCGAUGAGUAGGGCGGGACACGUGGUAUCCUGUCUGAAUAUGGGGGGACCAUCCUCCAAGGCUAAAUACUCCUGACUGACCGAUAGUGAACCAGUACCGUGAGGGAAAGGCGAAAAGAACCCCGGCGAGGGGAGUGAAAAAGAACCUGAAACCGUGUACGUACAAGCAGUGGGAGCACGCUUAGGCGUGUGACUGCGUACCUUUUGUAUAAUGGGUCAGCGACUUAUAUUCUGUAGCAAGGUUAACCGAAUAGGGGAGCCGAAGGGAAACCGAGUCUUAACUGGGCGUUAAGUUGCAGGGUAUAGACCCGAAACCCGGUGAUCUAGCCAUGGGCAGGUUGAAGGUUGGGUAACACUAACUGGAGGACCGAACCGACUAAUGUUGAAAAAUUAGCGGAUGACUUGUGGCUGGGGGUGAAAGGCCAAUCAAACCGGGAGAUAGCUGGUUCUCCCCGAAAGCUAUUUAGGUAGCGCCUCGUGAAUUCAUCUCCGGGGGUAGAGCACUGUUUCGGCAAGGGGGUCAUCCCGACUUACCAACCCGAUGCAAACUGCGAAUACCGGAGAAUGUUAUCACGGGAGACACACGGCGGGUGCUAACGUCCGUCGUGAAGAGGGAAACAACCCAGACCGCCAGCUAAGGUCCCAAAGUCAUGGUUAAGUGGGAAACGAUGUGGGAAGGCCCAGACAGCCAGGAUGUUGGCUUAGAAGCAGCCAUCAUUUAAAGAAAGCGUAAUAGCUCACUGGUCGAGUCGGCCUGCGCGGAAGAUGUAACGGGGCUAAACCAUGCACCGAAGCUGCGGCAGCGACGCUGAUGCGUUGUUGGGUAGGGGAGCGUUCUGUAAGCCUGCGAAGGUGUGCUGUGAGGCAUGCUGGAGGUAUCAGAAGUGCGAAUGCUGACAUAAGUAACGAUAAAGCGGGUGAAAAGCCCGCUCGCCGGAAGACCAAGGGUUCCUGUCCAACGUUAAUCGGGGCAGGGUGAGUCGACCCCUAAGGCGAGGCCGAAAGGCGUAGUCGAUGGGAAACAGGUUAAUAUUCCUGUACUUGGUGUUACUGCGAAGGGGGGACGGAGAAGGCUAUGUUGGCCGGGCGACGGUUGUCCCGGUUUAAGCGUGUAGGCUGGUUUUCCAGGCAAAUCCGGAAAAUCAAGGCUGAGGCGUGAUGACGAGGCACUACGGUGCUGAAGCAACAAAUGCCCUGCUUCCAGGAAAAGCCUCUAAGCAUCAGGUAACAUCAAAUCGUACCCCAAACCGACACAGGUGGUCAGGUAGAGAAUACCAAGGCGCUUGAGAGAACUCGGGUGAAGGAACUAGGCAAAAUGGUGCCGUAACUUCGGGAGAAGGCACGCUGAUAUGUAGGUGAAGCGACUUGCUCGUGGAGCUGAAAUCAGUCGAAGAUACCAGCUGGCUGCAACUGUUUAUUAAAAACACAGCACUGUGCAAACACGAAAGUGGACGUAUACGGUGUGACGCCUGCCCGGUGCCGGAAGGUUAAUUGAUGGGGUCAGCGCAAGCGAAGCUCUUGAUCGAAGCCCCGGUAAACGGCGGCCGUAACUAUAACGGUCCUAAGGUAGCGAAAUUCCUUGUCGGGUAAGUUCCGACCUGCACGAAUGGCGUAAUGAUGGCCAGGCUGUCUCCACCCGAGACUCAGUGAAAUUGAACUCGCUGUGAAGAUGCAGUGUACCCGCGGCAAGACGGAAAGACCCCGUGAACCUUUACUAUAGCUUGACACUGAACAUUGAGCCUUGAUGUGUAGGAUAGGUGGGAGGCUUUGAAGUGUGGACGCCAGUCUGCAUGGAGCCGACCUUGAAAUACCACCCUUUAAUGUUUGAUGUUCUAACGUUGACCCGUGAUCCGGGUUGCGGACAGUGUCUGGUGGGUAGUUUGACUGGGGCGGUCUCCUCCUAAAGAGUAACGGAGGAGCACGAAGGUUGGCUAAUCCUGGUCGGACAUCAGGAGGUUAGUGCAAUGGCAUAAGCCAGCUUGACUGCGAGCGUGACGGCGCGAGCAGGUGCGAAAGCAGGUCAUAGUGAUCCGGUGGUUCUGAAUGGAAGGGCCAUCGCUCAACGGAUAAAAGGUACUCCGGGGAUAACAGGCUGAUACCGCCCAAGAGUUCAUAUCGACGGCGGUGUUUGGCACCUCGAUGUCGGCUCAUCACAUCCUGGGGCUGAAGUAGGUCCCAAGGGUAUGGCUGUUCGCCAUUUAAAGUGGUACGCGAGCUGGGUUUAGAACGUCGUGAGACAGUUCGGUCCCUAUCUGCCGUGGGCGCUGGAGAACUGAGGGGGGCUGCUCCUAGUACGAGAGGACCGGAGUGGACGCAUCACUGGUGUUCGGGUUGUCAUGCCAAUGGCACUGCCCGGUAGCUAAAUGCGGAAGAGAUAAGUGCUGAAAGCAUCUAAGCACGAAACUUGCCCCGAGAUGAGUUCUCCCUGACUCCUUGAGAGUCCUGAAGGAACGUUGAAGACGACGACGUUGAUAGGCCGGGUGUGUAAGCGCAGCGAUGCGUUGAGCUAACCGGUACUAAUGAACCGUGAGGCUUAACCUU
rnacentral:rRNA from 1 species